rnacentral:rRNA from 1 species
GCAAGUCGAACGGUGGGGUAGCAAUACCUGAGAGUGGCGAACGGGUGAGUAAUGCAUCGGAACAUGCCUAUUUGUGGGGGAUAGCCCGGCGAAAGCCGGAUUAAUACCGCAUACGAUCUACGGAUGAAAGCUGGGGACCGCAAGGCCUAGCGCAAAUAGAGUGGCCGAUGUCAGAUUAGCUAGUUGGUGGGGUAAAGGCCCACCAAGGCAACGAUCUGUAGCUGGUUUGAGAGAACGACCAGCCACACUGGGACUGAGACACGGCCCAGACUCCUACGGGAGGCAGCAGUGGGGAAUUUUGGACAAUGGGCGCAAGCCUGAUCCAGCAAUGCCGCGUGCAGGAUGAAGGCCUUCGGGUUGUAAACUGCUUUUGUACGGAACGAAACGGCUCUGGUUAAUACCCGGGGCUAAUGACGGUACUGUAAGAAUAAGCACCGGCUAACUACGUGCCAGCAGCCGCGGUAAUACGUAGGGUGCAAGCGUUAAUCGGAAUUACUGGGCGUAAAGCGUGCGCAGGCGGUUAUGUAAGACAGACGUGAAAUCCCCGGGCUCAACCUGGGAACUGCGUUUGUGACUGCAUAGCUAGAGUACGGUAGAGGGGGGUGGAAUUCCGCGUGUAGCAGUGAAAUGCGUAGAUAUGCGGAGGAACACCGAUGGCGAANGCAGCCCCCUGGACCUGUACUGACGCUCAUGCACGAGAGCAUGAGGAGCAAACAGGAUUAGAUACCCUGCUAGUCCAUGCC